rnacentral:lncRNA from 1 species
AUUUUCAUAAAGGUCAACUAAGAAAUGUGACAAGGUUUGUGAACUAUAAAGCACUAAACAUAACUAUGUACCUCUACAUUUUAGGAGUUACAAAAAAAAAAAAAAAAACAAAAACAGUUAACACCACUUCCCCAAAUGAAAAGAGGAAAUUUAGUAACAGAUGUCAACCUUUCUGUAUUGGAAGAAGCUCCUGGUUGCUUGUCUUGACUCUGCCUCCCAUGGCUGAGGAGCCUAGUUCACCUCUAAGCCAAGUAGGAUGAGAGUAUAUUUGGUGUCUGAGCUCAUUUUCAAAUCUACUUCAUUUGUGUUACCACACAUUAUUCCUUCCCCCUGUUCAACUAUCUACUAAGACACUUAAACUGGCCAAGAAACAUCUAUCUAGCAAAAUUUUGGCUGAGAAUGUUCCUCCAAAUACUAUAAUCUAUUUCUAAAUUAAACCAGAUUAGCAAAAAUGUG